rnacentral:rRNA from 1 species
GAUGAACGCUAGCUACAGGCUUAACACAUGCAAGUCGAGGGGCAGCAUGAAGUUUGCUUGCAAACUUUGAUGGCGACCGGCGCACGGGUGAGUAACGCGUAUCCAACCUUCCCUAUAGUAGAGGAUAGCCCGGCGAAAGUCGGACUAAUACUCUAUGUUUUCCAAUGCAGACAUCUAAAAUGGAACAAAGGUUUACCGCUAUAGGAUGGGGAUGCGUCUGAUUAGGUUGUUGGCGGGGUAACGGCCCACCAAGCCCACGAUCAGUAGGGGUUCUGAGAGGAAGGUCCCCCACAUUGGAACUGAGACACGGUCCAAACUCCUACGGGAGGCAGCAGUGAGGAAUAUUGGUCAAUGGACGAGAAUCUGAACCAGCCAAGUAGCGUGCAGGAUGACGGCCCUAUGGGUUGUAAACUGCUUUUAUACGGGGAUAAAGUGUACCACGUGUGGUGUUUUGUAGGUACCGUAUGAAUAAGGACCGGCUAAUUCCGUGCCAGCCGCCGCAGUAACAC